AGUGAACGCUGGCGGUAGGCCUAACACAUGCAAGUCGAACGGCAGCACAGUAAGAGCUUGCUCUUACGGGUGGCGAGUGGCGGACGGGUGAGGAAUACAUCGGAAUCUACUUUUUCGUGGGGGAUAACGUAGGGAAACUUACGCUAAUACCGCAUACGACCUACGGGUGAAAGCAGGGGAUCUUCGGACCUUGCGCGAUUGAAUGAGCCGAUGUCGGAUUAGCUAGUUGGCGGGGUAAAGGCCCACCAAGGCGACGAUCCGUAGCUGGUCUGAGAGGAUGAUCAGCCACACUGGAACUGAGGCACGGUCCAGACUCCUACGGGAGGCAGCAGUGGGGAAUAUUGGACAAUGGGCGCAAGCCUGAUCCAGCCAUACCGCGUGGGUGAGGAAGGCCUUCGGGUUGUAAAGCCCUUUUGUUGGGAAAGAAAAGCAGCAGGUUAAUACCCCGCUGUUCUGACGGUACCCAAAGAAUAAGCACCGGCUAACUUCGUG
rnacentral:rRNA from 1 species